UACGGAGGAUGCGAGCGUUAUCCGGAUUUAUUGGGUUUAAAGGGUGCGCAGGCGGUACGGCAAGCCGGCGGUCAAAUCGCGGGGCUCAACCCCGCCCAGCCGUCGGAACUGCCGGGCUAGAGUGGGCGAGAAGUGCGCGGAAUGCGUGGUGUAGCGGUGAAAUGCAUAGAUAUCACGCAGAACUCCGAUUGCGAAGGCAGCGCACCGGCGCCCUACUGACGCUCAGGCACGAAAGCGUGGGUAUCGAACAGG
rnacentral:rRNA from 1 species